rnacentral:lncRNA from 1 species
UGCUCAUCCUGCAUAAUAAAGUUCAGAUGAAGUUGCCUCGCCUGCCCUGGUCUACUGGGCAUUAGAACUCUGAGGCACAUAAAUACUUCCCUUUGAACAGGUGUUGAAGCUGAGGCAAUGGGGAAAUUAAAUGAGCAGCCCCAGUUCACCCUGAGAAGGAAGCUUACCCAAAAGAUGAUUUUUGGGUAGCAUAAUUCCCAGUGCCACCCCUCUGGAGAAUUUCUGUGUUCCUAAACUGUGGAACAGAUGAAUUAUAGCUCUUAGCUUAUUUGCUGCACUGGGGCAGUAAAGUACAUUGGAAAGAGCACUGCUUCUAGAAUCAAAAAGUAUGAUUUCAGAUCUCACCCUUGGAGCUUACUUAUCUGAUCUCAGAUUCCUGAUGAAAAGACCAAAGCCACGUAGAAACCUUCCAGGGCAAACUCAGGAGAGAAGAGAAACACAAAAAGGAGAGGUAUGCCAGCUCCUUCUGUCCCAGGAACAACUCUAAGACCUAAAGGAAAGAGCUAGGCAAAUGGGAUAAAGUGACUUGUCCAGUGUCACAGAGCUAGGAGGUGUCUGAGGCCAUGUUGAGCAAUGGGCUCCCUGAAAAGAGAAAAGUUAAGCAUAACACUCUUUUAAGUUUAUUCUGCAUAAUUAACAUGC